rnacentral:rRNA from 1 species
ACGAACGCUGGCGGCGUGCUUAACCCAUGCAAGUCGAACGGAAAGGCCCUGCUUUUGUGGGGCGCUCGAGUGGCGAACGGGUGAGUAACACGUGAGUCACCUGCCCUUGACUUUGGGAUAACUUCAGGAAACUGGGGCUAAUACCGGAUAGGAGCUCCUGCUGCAUGGUGGGGGUUGGAAAGUUUCGGCGGUUGGGGAUGGACUCGCGGCUUAUCGGCUUGUUGGUGGGGUAGUGGCUUACCAAGGCAUGGACGGGUAGCCGACCUGAGAGGGUGGCCGGCCUCCUUGGGCCUGCGGUACGCCCCAGCGUCCUACGGGGGACAGCGGUGGGAAAUAUUGCCCAGUGGGCGGAAGCCUGAUGCGACAGCGCCGGGGUCGGAAUGACGGCCUUCGGGUUGUAAACCGCUUUCGCCUAUGACGAAGCUUGAGUGACGGUAAUGGGUAAAGAAGCACCGGCUAACUACGUG